rnacentral:rRNA from 1 species
AUUGAACGCUGGCGGCAUGCCUUACACAUGCAAGUCGAACGGCAGCGGGGACUUCGGUCCGCCGGCGAGUGGCGAACGGGUGAGUAAUGUAUCGGAACGUACCAUUGAGUGGGGGAUAACUAUCCGAAAGGAUAGCUAAUACCGCAUAUUCUCUCCGGAGGAAAGCAGGGGACCGCAAGGCCUUGCGCUCAUUGAGCGGCCGAUAUCAGAUUAGCUAGUUGGUGAGGUAAAGGCUCACCAAGGCGACGAUCUGUAGCGGGUCUGAGAGGAUGAUCCGCCACACUGGUACUGAGACACGGUCCAGACUCCUACGGGAGGCAGCAGUGGGGAAUUUUGGACAAUGGGGGCAACCCUGAUCCAGCCAUGCCGCGUGAGUGAAGAAGGCCUUCGGGUUGUAAAGCUCUUUCGGCCGGGAAAAAAUCGCAUGGGUUAAUACCCUGUGUGGAUGAUGGUACCGGAAUAAGAAGCACCGGCUAACUACGUGCCAGCAGCCGCGGUAAUAC